rnacentral:rRNA from 1 species
UUCUUUAAGUUAUAAAUUAAAGUAUCUCCUGCUCAAUGUAUUUAAAUAGCUGUAUUCACACUAAGGUAGCAUAAUAAAUUGUCUUUUAAUUGGGGACUGGAAUGAAUGGAGGAAUGGGAAAGAUUUUUCUUAAUAUAGAUUAUUUGAAAUUAAAUAUUUUGUUAAAAUGCAAAAAUACAAUUUAGGGACAAGAAGACCCUAUGAAGCUUUAUUUCUAUUACAAUUGAUAAAGAAAUUUUGUUGGGGCAACACACUAAGAUUUUAGUUUAGUGAUAUAUUUUAUUAAUUUAUAUAUGCUAGAGCCAUAAUUUAUGAUUAUUUGAUUAAGUUACUCUAGGGAUAACAGCAUAAUAUAAAUUUGAAAGUACAUAUAGAAAAUUUAGAUUAUGACCUCGAUGUUGAAUUAAUUUUACUUUUAGGGGCAAAAUUUUAAUUUAGUUAGUCUGUUCGACUAUUAAAAAAUUACA